CUGUCAAAGGCGGCGUGGAUCGUGUUUUUGCUAUAUUCACUUAGCUUCUGUCAACUUUGUGAUGGAAAAUCAAAACGGAAAUCACUAAAUGUUAUGACAUUUAACACAUGGCUGCACGAGUCCCUUGUGGAAGGCUAUGUCGGAAAAGAUGCUAGAAAAAACAGAAUAAUUAAAGGCCUUAAAUCUUCUAAAGCAGAUGUUAUUUGUUUGCAAGAGGUAUUCAUUGGUCAAGACGUCGAGGAUAUUGUAAAUGGUGUUAAGAAACAGUAUCCUCAUUCAUUUAGCGAAUUACAUGAUGAUGUCAACAAUCUCCCGCCACAGGCAACGGAAAA